rnacentral:tRNA from 1 species
AUGGCUGAUUUUUAAGCACUGGUCUCUUAAACCAUAUAAUAGAUUUAUAUCUUCUAAUGA